GACGAACGCUGGCGGCGUGCUUAACACAUGCAAGUCGAACGGACGAGUGAGAUAAGUUUACUUAACUCACAAGUUAGUGGCGGACGGGUGAGUAACACGUGGAUAAUCUACCUGCAACACCGGGAUAACGCUGUGAAAACGGUGCUAAUACCGGAUACGUUCCCUUGUGGCAUGUAUGAGGGAAGAAAGCUCAGGCGGUUGCAGAUGAGUCCGCGGCUGAUUAGCUAGUUGGUGAGGUAAAGGCUCACCAAGGCGAUGAUCAGUAGCCGGCCUGAGAGGGUGAACGGCCACACUGGGACUGAGACACGGCCCAGACUCCUACGGGAGGCAGCAGUGGGGAAUCUUCCGCAAUGGGCGCAAGCCUGACGGAGCAACGCCGCGUGGGUGAAGAAGGCCUUCGGGUUGUAAAGCCCUGUCUUAUGGGAAGAAGUCAGUGACGGUACCAUAGGAGGAAGCCACGGCUAACUACGUG
rnacentral:rRNA from 1 species